rnacentral:rRNA from 1 species
UACGUAGGGUCCGAGCGUUGUCCGGAAUUACUGGGCGUAAAGGGCUCGUAGGUGGCCAACUAAGUCAGACGUGAAAUCCCUCGGCUUAACCGGGGAACUGCGUCUGAUACUGGAUGGCUUGAGAUUGGGAGAGGGAUGCGGAAUUCCAGGUGUAGCGGUGAAAUGCGUAGAUAUCUGGAGGAACACCGGUGGCGAAGGCGGCAUCCUGGACCAACACUGACGCUGAGUGAGCGAAAGCCAGGGGAGCAAACGGG